UGGUUCUUCGUUGCCCCUCCCUCACAGGAGGCCUGGGAAGGAAAGGUUUCACUUUCGAGGGAUGAGAUGGCUAAACUUUAAAAGGCCCUGUUUGGUCACUUGCAGUCAGACUUCGCCUGGUGGUGGCUACAGUGACUGACUUGAGGGGUGUCAGGGGUGUGGGGGCCUCUGGGGAGAAGGCUUGAGGGCCUGGAGAGCCAACAGUGGUCGGUGAGGAACCAACCAUGACUUGGUUUCAGAGUCCACUGGUCUGGAGCAGAAAGGAAAAUUAUGGCACCAGUUGGGAGCUACAAAUGCCCCUGGGGGUCCCAGUCGCUGCUGGAGUCCUAGCCCUUCUGGCCCUCUUGGCGUUGGCUUAUCAUUGUCUCAAAGAGGCCUGGAAGUCCAGAUGGAGGUUUUGCCAUGAGGGCUGGAGGUGUCCCCAAACUGGAAAGAGCCUACAGCGUGUCUUCAUCCACAACCCGGAUCAGGGCCAGCUGGGGACCCUCUCUUCAGAGCCCCAUGGCUCCCUACUGCCUUCCCCACUGUCCCUCUGAAGGCCCUAAUGGCACCAGGACAGCUCUGCAAGACUUCCCUCAUGUUUCAAAGGAGGUUGUGGUCUCUGCUAAGCACCCUGCACUUGUAAUAACUGUUAAUGUGGAUGAAGGAUUGAACUCAUGGGAGGAGGGUAAUGUGGGGUGAGGGCUGGGUCCUUGUCCCACAGCUGUCAGGCAGGAGGGAAGGGAGAUACUAGAAGUGUUGAUCUUCUCUUGUUUUUUGGCAUCAAAGCUUUCUCUGCCCAAAGUCACCCUCAAGAAGCCAGGGUUUCAGUUACUCUGUCUUAGCAGUAGUCUAUUCCCCUGAGGGUAAUACCAUGAUCCAAAGGGGAGCCAUGGGCUAGAAGGAAAAAAGCCCAGGGCCCUUCAGAAUGGCUCAGCAGGCAGAGGGAAGCUAUGUGUGACCUCCAUUCCCAAAAUCUGUCAUUGCCCAAUCAGCGCUCUCCACUCCUGGCUAGCUCAGUGCUCUCUGCUCAGGAUAGUUCCUUCCUGGGACCACAGCAAGGCCACUGCACCUUCACCCUUUGGAGCCCCUGAGUUCUCUUGGCUCAGCUCAGGCACCAGAGAAGUUGGGGCCUACUGAAGCAUAUCAGGGGUCCCUGGCUGCUGAGCACCUUCUGUGUCAGGACACUUCUACAGGCCCCCUGUGCCCACUAUGACCUGAACUCCUCAGAUCACCCAGAACCACUUGAUUAUUUUUUUUUCCUGGGCUUCUUCUGGGUCAGGGAGGGUGAAUUAGUAAUGGCAGGUUAGUUAGGCUAUGGCGAGUAGAAUCUGAAAGUGAUUCCUGCCCCUGGAGAUGCACAGGCUCACCAGCCAGUUCUCUGGAGUACUGUAGAUGUAACCCUGCAUGCACCAACAUUCUUCUCUGACUAGGCUGCACUGUGUGGAGACAGUGGAGAGAUUGAUGCAGAUUAAUUAUAGUCUCUAAUUAAUUAAAUCAUCUCUGAGUUAAGUAAAAGGUGGGGCCAGGAACACUGAUGCAUGUCUGUGGUCUAAACUAAAUGUGGCAGGUUGAGGCAGCAGGAUGACUUGAGUCCAGGACAUCAAGGUCAGCCUGGAUAACAAAACACAGCCCUGCCUUAACUCAGUGGGGUUUGCUAUGUAGCUCAGACUGGUCUGGAAUUUGUUAUGUAGCCCCAGCUGGCCUCAUUUGAGUUCCUCAUAUCUUGAUUCCCUGAGUAUUUGGACUAUAGGGACUAUAGAAUUUGGCCGGGCAGUGGUGGCGCACGCCUUUGAUCCCAGCACUUGGGAGGCUGAGGCAGGCGGAUUUCUUAGUUCGAGGCCAGCCUGG